rnacentral:misc_RNA from 1 species
UCAAAAUGAAAGCUUUUCUCAUGGAAUAUGAUUUAUAGGAGGCGACUGAGAAUGGCUAUGAGCCAACAUCACUUCCAGACAAACCAACUGUUGCUGAAAUGACGAAGCAUAGCCAAUCAACAAAAGAAUUCAAAGUACUCUCAUUUCUUCAUUCAGCAGUAGAUGAUUCAAUAUUUUCAAGGAUUAUGGAAGCAAUAACAGCAAAAUUAGCAUGGGUUAUUCUUCAGGAGUCCCAAGGUUCAAAAAAAAGUAAGGGUUGCUGAGUUGUUAAAUUUGAGAAGUUUGAGUUGUUAAAGAUGAAUGAAGAAGAUACUAUCAAAGAUUAUAUUUCAAAGCUAGUUAAGGCUGUUAAUCAAAUGAAAUUUAUGGAGAUGAUAAUUCAAAUCGAAAGAUUGUGAACAAGGUGUGGGUAAGUAUGAUUGAAAAUUACCAGUCAAGAAUAACAGAAAUUAAGGGAUCAAAAGAUCUCAGCAAGCUAUCUGUCAAUGAACUCAUUGGAUCUCUACAAGCUUAAGAGCAGAGAUUCAAUCUCAAAUCUGAAAAAUCAGCUGAAGGUGCGUUUCAAGCAAGAGUCACAGGGUCUGAUUGAUCCCAUUCUGAACCCUACGCCCAUCAACCAACAAAGCAAAGUACAAGUUCAAAAACUUGUCCUCUAAAGGAAGUAAGUUCCAGUUAAGGAAGUAACCUCCAUGUGGCAUUUGUAAGAAAACCAGCCAUGAAGAAAAAUAUUUCCGGCAAGAGGGGAACCCACAAUGCUUAAAAUGUAAAAGGUUUGGGCAUGUGGAAAAGCUUGUAGAUUCAAAGAAGAAAGCACAUCAAACACAUCAAAUGUAGCACAGGAAACAAAAGAAGAAUUUAUGUUCCAAGGAACAAGAAAUUUGCUGGUGAGAAGUGCGCCAAAAAAAAAAGCAACAAAAAAUGGUGAGACAAUGGAAUAUGAGAAAAAUGGUAAGAAAAUUCACCAGAAAAUAAAUCAAGAAUGUUAGAGAGAUGUGCUCCAUGAAAGAGUUGGAGAGGUGUGCUCCACCAACAACAAGACAAAUUAGAAAAAUUGGAGAGAUGAUGCUCGAAGAUAACUUAAUUUGGAUUCAGAAAAAUUAUCAAGGAGUGUUGGAGAAUAUGAUACUCUGCUUCAUACUCCAAAUAUCAAUAAGUAUCAAGAAUUUAGUUUAUGUGUUUGGUUUGAAUUAAAAUCCUAAAAUGUAGCUGAAAAUGUAGAUUUGAUUUCGGUAAACAUGUAAGGCUAGUCUUCAAAGUCAGGUGCUCCAUUCCUAUCUUAGUAGACUAGGUAGAAUUCAUGUCACAUUUUGCUCUAUAAAUAAGCUUGCACUGCAGAAAGCAGAGUAUGGAAGAAAAGCAAGAAAUCAAUCUAAGCACAAGUAGAAAUCUCUCAUUUUUCUCAGUUUUUCUUCCUUCAAACCCAACAAAUGGUAUCAGAACUCUCUUGAUCUCAAGGGACCAAGAAAGAGUGUAUUCAACAACUGAAGAAACAUGGAUGCAAUGCUGCACUGCGAGAACCAGCAGUAUUCAGAGAGAGGUACAACUUCUGGUAUA